GACCUUGUGGUGUAGUGGCUAGCACUCUGGACUCUGAAUCCAGAGACCCGAGUUCAUGUCUCAGCGAGGCCU
rnacentral:tRNA from 1 species